rnacentral:rRNA from 1 species
ACGGCUCAGUAACACGUGGAUAACCUGCCCAAGGGUCUGGGAUAACCCCGGGAAACUGGGGAUAAUACCGGAUGGAUCACUAGUGCUGGAAUGCUUGGUGGUUUAAAGGCAACGCCUUUGGAUGGGUCUGCGGCGGAUUAGGUUGACGCCGGUGUAACGUACCGGCGUGCCUGUAAUCCGUACGGGUUGUGGGAGCAAGAGCCCGGAGAUGGAUUCUGAGACACGAAUCCAGGCCCUACGGGGCGCAGCAGGCGCGAAAACUCUACAAUGCAGGCAACUGCGAUAGGGGGACAUCGAGUGGCAUCCACCUUGGGUGCCUGUCCAACCGUCUAAAAAACGGUUGUUAGCAAGGGCCGGGUAAGACCGGUGCCAGCCGCCGCGGUAAUACCGGCGGCUCGAGUGGUGGCCGAUAUUAUUGAGUCUAAAGGGUCCGUAGCCGGCUUUGCAAGUCCCCUGGGAAAUCCAGCGGCUUAACCGUUGGGCUUUCAUGGGAUACUACAUUGCUUGGGACUGGGAGAGGUAGGAGGUACUCGGGGGGUAGGGGUGAAAUCCUGUAAUCCUCCGGGGACCACCGGUGGCGAAGGCGUCCUACCAGAACAGGUCCGACGGUGAGGGACGAAAGCUAGGGGCACGAACCGGAUUAGAUACCCGGGUAGUCCUAGCCGUAAACGAUGCCCGCUAGGUGUCACGACGGUCGUGAAUCGUCGUGGUGCCGUAGGGAAGCCGCGAAGCGGGCCACUUGGGAAGUACGGCCGCAAGGCUGAAACUUAAAGGAAUUGGCGGGGGAGCAC